rnacentral:rRNA from 1 species
UACGUAGGGGCUAGCGUUAUCCGGAAUUACUGGGCGUAAAGGGUGCGUAGGUGGUUUCUCAAGUCAGAGGUGAAAGGCUACGGCUCAACCGUAGUAAGCCUUUGAAACUGGGAAACUUGAGUGCAGGAGAGGAGAGUGGAAUUCCUAGUGUAGCGGUGAAAUGCGUAGAUAUUAGGAGGAACACCAGUUGCGAAGGCGGCUCUCUGGACUGUAACUGACACUGAGGCACGAAAGCGUGGGGAGCAAACAGGAUUAGAUACCCUGGUAGUCCCUGA